UUUGCUCUAGAUGUCACACUAGGGUUUUCAUUUAGUGGAUCUCCAAAGUUUCAGUAGGAUGUCACACUAAGAUCUCCUUUUAGUGGAUCUCCAAAAUUUGUUUGGAUGUCACACUAAGAUUUUCCUUCAUAGAACUCUUAGAUGUAUCAACAGAUAGUUAAGAUACCGAUUUCUUUUUUUUCUGUGCUUUGUAGAUUCACCAGUUAGUGGGAUUCUGGCUGCUUCAGAAUUUCUACAGUUAUUUCUUGGGCUCAGGCUACUACAGGAAGAGGAUCCGAGCUUUAGCCAGUUUACUGCCUCAGGAGACUUUGGUUCUGAUUUCAAGAGGAGCUGGAUAUUUGUUCGCGAGCCACCUCAAGAGACUUCUGCUUCAGGUACG